CUUUAUGAUGACAAAAGGCCAAUUGGCCUGAUCUAACCCCAGCUCGUCGAAUGCCUCACCUAAACAACGCUAGAGUGCAUCAUGAGAUAACAUCGAAUCUGAUAAG
rnacentral:snoRNA from 1 species